rnacentral:tRNA from 1 species
AUUUAAGUAGUUUAUAAAAAACAUUUCAUUUUCAGUGAAAAGAAAAUAAUAAUUCUUAAAUA